CAUCAUGAAACGAGGCGAAAAGGCCAAACAAAUUGUAGCUAAUUUAUACUUAUAUUCCUGUGAUUUCAAUUACUAAUUGAACUUCGUAUCACAUCUGCAUACUGUCAGUGUCAGUCAUUCCAUCAAGUUGACUUAGCGCUCAGUCAAUUUUCAUCCAUUAGAUCCUUAUGCUGUCAUAAGCCUAAAACUCAUGUUUGAAGCCCACACAUAGAGGAAUACAAAUGUAUCGAGAUAAGGAUCUUUUCUGAAUCUCGCAAUUUUGGAGGUGUACCCUGCAACAGCAUGUUUUUUGUUAUGGCUGUUUCUACCUCUGUUUAGAAGGCAACCCAGCUGAAGGAAAGAGUUUCAGAGACAUGAAGAGAGUGAAGUGAGACAUGCCAUGUGUAUGUUCAUGUACCAGAUCUGCUUGAUGAAAGUCAAAUGCCUUACUAAAUUCAUCACCCAUAUGAUAAAGCAUCAGGAAAUUUAUCUCAUCAUGUGGAGUAAUGCUAUUGCUUGCUGUGAAUUCCAUUUUUACGUUUUUUUUUUUAACCAUGAACAUUUUAGUGUGUUUCUUA